UUUGAAGAGGACUAUCAGCCUUCACACUUAAACAGACAUCUCUUUCUGCUCUCUUUUCUAUCCCUGGGUGUUUUACUAUAGCACAUGACUGAUUAGCCUCCCCCGGACAAUAGAUAAGACUAGAUGAAUAGCUGAUAAGACUUCAGGCUUUGAAGUGUGUGCGUGUGUUUAAUUGAAAUUCUCUGUUGCUCUCUCUUAUAGGGUAUGGGAGGUGAGUCCGGUUCUAUAUCCCUCCACGGGUGAAGAUUCCCUCUCAGUUUGUGCGAUUCACCCUGACUUUGACUCUCGACUUGCAGUAUCCCUCCUCUCCUCCCUCCAUUUCCAUCCACAACCCUCUGGGUCUUUCUGAUGACAAGCUGUGCAGUGUGCAGAAAUGUCUGCAGAAAGAGGCGGUGUCCUGCCUGGGUUCUGCUGUGUUGUACCAGCUCAUUGAGGCCAGUUCUCUUUCUCUCGCUUUAUUUUCACCUCUCUCGCUCCGUUUCCCUCAUUUUCUCUUUCUCUCACUCCCUCUGUUCUUAGUUGGAGACCGCAGUAAUUUAAGUACUGUAUUUGUGAUAUUAAAAUUAGAACUGUGGCUCGAGGAUGCCCUUUGACCUGAUUUUAUUUUAUUUAGAAAUGUAUAAAUAGAGAUGAAUAUCAAGUACUUGACUCAGUCCCUCUUUUCAGUCUCUCUCAGAAAGCCAAAGAGAUUCUGACAGAGAGCAAUAUUCCCCAUGGGAACUGCGUCAUCUGCCUUUACGGGU